rnacentral:rRNA from 1 species
GAUGAACGCUAGCGGCAGGCUUAAUACAUGCAAGUCGAGGGGCAGCAUGAAUGUAGCAAUACAUUUGAUGGCGACCGGCAAACGGGUGCGGAACACGUACACAACCUUCCUAUAAGUGGGGAAUAGCCCAGAGAAAUUUGGAUUAAUACCCCGUAACAUAAUGAUGUGGCAUCACAUUAUUAUUAUAGCUACGGCGCUUAUUGAUGGGUGUGCGGCUGAUUAGAUAGUUGGCGGGGUAACGGCCCACCAAGUCUACGAUCAGUAGCUGAUGUGAAAGCAUGAUCAGCCACACGGGCACUGAGACACGGGCCCGACUCCUACGGGAGGCAGCAGUAAGGAAUUUUGGACAAUGGACGCAAGUCUGAUCCAGCCAUGCCGCGUGCGGGAAGAAGGCCUUCGGGUUGUAAACCGCUUUUGUCAGGGAAGAAACGCUCUGGGUUAAUACCUCGGGGUAAUGACGGUACCUGAAGAAUAAGCACCGGCUAACUACGUGCCAGCCGCCGCGGUAAGAC